rnacentral:rRNA from 1 species
UACGUAGGGUGCAAGCGUUAUCCGGAAUCACUGGGCGUAAAGCGUGCGUAGGUGGCGCGUUAAGUGAGAUGUUAAAUCGUGUGGCUCAACCAUAUCGAUGCAUCUCAUACUGGCGUGCUAGAGGACGGCAGAGGCAAGUGGAAUUGGUAGUGUAGCAGUGAAAUGCGUAGAUAUUACCAGGAACACCAAUGGCGAAGGCAGCUUGCUGGGCCACUCCUGACACUGAGGUACGAAAGCGUGGGGAGCGAACAGGA